ensembl:lncRNA LINC00200 long intergenic non-protein coding RNA 200
UGAGCGUCGCACGCUUUGCGUAGAUGAGGGAUGGCGCCGGCGCAGGCCUGCGCGCCACGCGCUUUAGGUGGAUGAGGGAUGGCGCAGGUGCAGGCCUGCGCGCCUCACGCUUUAUGUACAUGAGGGAUGAGGCAGCACAGGAAUUGGCACAACCUGAAGUCAGCUCUGCAGCUUUCCAAGCUUCGUUCUGCGUGUCCUGUACUCAACAGUCAUCUCAUGCUGCAGGGUGGCUGCGUGUGCUCCGUACAUCACACCCAUAUUUCAGGGAGAAGACUGCACAUAUAACACAGCUCUGCAUGGAAAACCUUCCGCCUGGAGGGGUGGCUUCCUAGAGCCCACAUCCCCUCUGACAGAUCCCUCCACGGAAAGGCUCCGGCACCUCAACCUCACUCUGGCUGCAUUGGAAACUCUUCUGUCGCUAUCGGCCUUCUCUGAAGAGCUUUAAUCUCUCCUUCCAUGGAGUCUCCUGUGGACUUAAUACACGAAUCCAUACACUUGUACUAAUGGGUAGCAUGGAAUUAAUGUGUGGCUUUCUCCAGAUGUGGAUGUUGAUAUUUCAGUAAAGUCUGAGUUGUUUCUGG